AUGCCACAAGGGGCGCAAGCCUGAUGCAGCCAUGCCGCGGAAGAAGGCCUUCCGGGUUGUAAAGCACUUUCAGCGAGGAGGAAGGGUUCAGUGUUAAUAGCACUGUUCAUUGACGUUACUCGCAGAAGAAGCACCGGCUAAUUCCGUGCCAGCAGCCGCGGUAAUACGGAGGGUGCAAGCGUUUAUUGGAAUUACUGGGCGUAAAGCGCACGCCGGCGGUUUGUUAAGUCAGAUGUGAAAUCCCCGCGCUUAACGUGGGAACUGCAUUUGAAACUGGCAAGCUAGAGUCUUGUAGAGGGGGGUAGAAUUCCAGGUGUAGCGGUGAAAUGCGUAGAGAUCUGGAGGAAUACCGGUGGCGAAGGCGGCCCCCUGGACAAAGACUGACGCUCAGGUGCGAAAGCGUGGGGAGCAAACAGGAUUAGAUACCCUGGUAGUCCACGCUGUAAACGAUGUCGACUUGGAGGUUGUGCCCUUGAGGCGUGGCUUCCGGAGCUAACGCGUUAAGUCGACCGCCUGGGGAGUACGGCCGCAAGGUUAAAACUCAAAUGAAUUGACGGGGGCCCGCACAAGCGGUGGAGCAUGUGGUUUAAUUCGAUGCAACGCGAAGAACCUUACCUACUCUUGACAUCCAGAGAAUUCGCUAGAGAUAGCUUAGUGCCUUCGGGAACUCUGAGACAGGUGCUGCAUGGCUGUCGUCAGCUCGUGUUGUGAAAUGUUGGGUUAAGUCCCGCAACGAGCGCAACCCUUAUCCUUUGUUGCCAGCACGUAAUGGUGGGAACUCAAAGGAGACUGCCGGUGAUAAACCGGAGGAAGGUGGGGAUGACGUCAAGUCAUCAUGGCCCUUACGAGUAGGGCUACACACGUGCUACAAUGGCGUAUACAAAGAGAAGCGAACUCGCGAGAGCAAGCGGACCUCAUAAAGUACGUCGUAGUCCGGAUCGGAGUCUGCAACUCGACUCCGUGAAGUCGGAAUCGCUAGUAAUCGUAGAUCAGAAUGCUACGGUGAAUACGUUCCCGGGCCUUGUACACACCGCCCGUCACACCAUGGGAGUGGGUUGCAAAAGAAGUAGGUAGCUUAACCUUCGGGAGGGCGCUACC
rnacentral:rRNA from 1 species